UGGCCAGGCACAAAAACAUUUGGAGUCCAGAGGAUGGCACCAAAUAUGACUUCCCUUUUCCUCUCAAGCAGACAACGGUUCGCCACAGAGAGCCCACCGAGACGAAAGGGCACCAGGAGCCGUGUCUCCUGGACGUUGCCUUCCACUCCCUGUGCUUCCUCUCAUCCAGCUUUUCCUCCCUGCUUCAUGUCUCCUCAGUCGUUUCUAUUCCUCUAUCUGCCGCCAAAGGGCGGAGAUGCCUUCAGGUCGUGUGUAGAAACCCCAGACGGGUGUAGUGAAUCGGAGAGCACAGGGUGUGCCUGAAUCCUGAGGAGAUUCCAGGAAAGCGGCAGCGCCCCGUGACCCCGCGCGGCCCAGGAAUCAGCGAGCGGAGCGUCUUUUUCGUUUGUCUCAGCUGUCAGGUGCCAGAUUCACAGAGACCCGUACCUGACGGCCUGAGAACCCUAGAGGGCCAGGGAAGUCGUCACGUACUUCAGCUUGCCAGAGCGGGAUGGAGAAGCCGCUGACGGAGGCCUGUGACCACGAAGCGGGCGUGUGGCCAGAAGAGAGGGUUCCUCUGGGAACUGGCAGCUGAGGCCAAACAAAAUGGCGGACACCCCCACAGACGCCCCUGCGCGGAGGAGACGAUCGCCAAGGCACACAAGACCGUUCCCGUGGCUCCCAGAAGGCUGCGGUCAGACGUUAUCUCCAAGGAGGAAAUUCUCCUUUAGACACUGGGGUCAGGUGAUGCCCAACAACAAAGGCCCGCUCUGUUAAGGGGACCACUGGCCAAUACGCCGAGGCACUGGGGACAGAGUUUUCACUGGAGAGGAACAGCUGGGAGACUGCUAGGUUUUGGAAGAGCGUGAUUAAAGAGCUCCUGUCUCCAUAUUGGAAACUGGCCCUGAUCACUGUGGCAGCACACUGAAGUAUGUGAUAAAUAAUUUAUGAACCUCGGAGGUCUGGUAUGGGGAGAUGUUCACCUUUUCUCCAUCCGUGCACCACACAUCAUGCUUCAGCGCCAACACGGGCACAUGCAGUUCUGCCUCAAGGUGGGUAAA
rnacentral:lncRNA from 1 species